AUGGUUUACUUUAAGCAAUAGGAUAACUGCACUAUAUACAGUCUUACUGUGUUUCUCAGAUGCUCUGUGUCUGGGUCUUAUGAUCUGCUCAAGUGUCUGUAUAGUAAGCAUCCUCUAAAACUUAUAAGAGACAUGUUACGCAUGUCCGUAGUGCUCAGCACUUCCUGAAAGUGUCUCAUGAAGAUAGAGCCCCACCAAACUAUGCUCAUCUUACUGUGAAUAUUUGUCAGAUCUUACUCAUUCUUUUGCAUCCUGGCUGUCUUUAGGGCCUGCUGCAAAUAUCCAGUGUUAUGGAGAGUAUAGAAAUAAGUUUAUCCAUAGUUUGCCGCGUUGUUUUCAUCAACAAUAUGAAGUCUAGAUUUAGCCUGUUUUUACCCUGCUUUGGUAAGAGA
rnacentral:lncRNA from 1 species